UUCAAUUGAUGUGUUUGGCAAUCCUUUGU
rnacentral:piRNA from 1 species